rnacentral:lncRNA from 1 species
GCAGUCAGGGCUCUGAUCUGUGCCCUGUGCCUGCUUGGAGAGGCAAUGUUCAAUCGGCAAAGGUGACCCAGAUACCCCACAGGGGCGCAGCCUGCCCACGAGAAGCUGCAGCAAGGCAGCAUCCCCAUUCCAGAGCCGGGUAGAGACAGAAUAGCUCUCAGGCCAGCAGGACAAACAGAGAGAGCACUGGGGAAAAGAAGCAGGCUUGUGGCUUGGAAAGGUAAAGGCGGUGUAAGUCUCACAUGGCAUUUUUUUUCCUCCCUCCCUCUGUCUCCCUCCCCUCCUCCAGUCUGUUGCACCGGAGCUGUCGGCCAUGCUGUUCCAGUUCAGGGGCUCCUGCAACAGAAAAGAUCAGCUGUUGGAGAACCCAUGGAAAGCCCUGGGGGAGAGCCAUGGCCGCAAGAGGAAUCUCACUUUGCCUUUUUCUCCCUGCUGCCUCUAGAGGACCAGGCGAUCCUAGGCACAGCUCUAGCAGAUGGUUUUGGUGAUGUAAAGCGCAAGGGGAUCGCUCCCAAGAGCUGCUGAGGCAGUUAAGUCAGAAAUGAACUGAUGCAUGCGGCAUGCCACAUCUCCUGCCCGGCCGCCUUCGGACAGUUUCCUCGGCACAGGCAGCCUGCACCGCCCUGCACGUCCCCAUGCAGUGAUUUACCCACGGAGAUUUCUCUGCGUCUGACCCAAAAUUAGCUGAAAUGGGUGAUCAGCCCUUUUAUAAGCACUCCGAGCUAUUCUGAGUCAGAGCAAGCAGCGUGUGCUGCUCAGGUGAUCGUGCAGCGAGUGAAAUCUAAACCAGCAACGCCUUCACUUCUCCGGCACGGCACGAGCUGCAGCAGGGUGCUGGGAGCGCACCAGGCACGGGGCAGUGCCAACUGCACUUUGCUGCAAGCCAGGAGAAAUUUUCUGAGUGUUUUACAAGCUGUAAUGUAAAACCUUUACCUUUCGUCCACAGCAAAUAUUACCAAAGUUGUUUGAGAAUGAGAGAAGCAAAUCUAUAUUUUGUCAAUAUUAGUCUGGAGAACAAAAUAUGAGAACCAGAAGCAUUCGGUGCUGAGCAAAUGAAAACUAAUUUCUGUUACAUGAGAACUGACUCUUCCUCUCAAUGAGAUUUUCCUUACUUUAGUAAGAAAAUCUAGAUCUAUACUAGGAAAUCCAAACAUUUUUCAGCAGAACUGCAGAUAAUUUAUAGACAAGCAGUUCUGAAGUGCAUGCAGCAUUGCAGGGCGCUGUGCUAAAGUCCAUACAUCUCCUGCUGCCAAGCCUGGCUCUCUGUGCGGAUACUUCUCUCCAAGCAGCUGUGCACAACAGACCCGCACUGCCUCUCUGAUGAAACACUCUCCCCUAAAUGGUUAAGGACAAGAAACCAGAAAUGAUCCAUAAAUUAGGUCUGGCUAUAGGUUCAAAAUCAUAAGUUAUGGCCUCUUGACCUCAUACUCUGAGGGGAAAUCAGAAGCAUUUUUCUAAAGAGCCACCACUGGAGGAAGGGAGGUUUAAUAUAUGGCACAGCAGAGCACUGAUGCAAAUAAAUACAACGCUGCAUAAUUGCA